AACUUUGCGCAGUGGCAGUAUCGUAGCCAAUGAGGUUUACCCUAGGCGUGAUUAUUGCUAAUUGAAAACUUUUCCCAGAAUCUAUAGUUGACAAUUUCCAUCCAAUCUACCUAUCCUGAUAACAGG
ensembl:snRNA U4 U4 spliceosomal RNA